rnacentral:rRNA from 1 species
UAGUGAACGUGCGGAAGGAUCAUU